rnacentral:rRNA from 1 species
UACGAAGGGGGGCUAGCGUUGCUCGGAAUUACUGGGCGUAAAGCGCACGUAGGCGGAUAUUUAAGUCAGGGGUGAAAUCCCCGGGGCUCAACCCCGGAACUGCCUUUGAUACUGGGUAUCUCGAGUCCGAGAGAGGUGAGUGGAAUUCCGAGUGUAGAGGUGAAAUUCGUAGAUAUUCGGAGGAACACCAGUGGCGAAGGCGGCUCACUGGCUCGGUACUGACGCUGAGGUGCGAAAGCGUGGGGAGCAAACAGG